rnacentral:lncRNA from 1 species
UUGUUGAGUUAAAUUAGAAAAAUAAUAAUGGUGUUCUCAGUUAAAAUCCAGAGUUAAAUAAUCAAGUGUUAUGGUAAACUUUCUCAUAGUGAGAAUUGCAUAAAAAUCAGCUGUUACAUCGGCGAGUAUAGCAAGAGCAGCUGGUGUUUCAAUAACAAAGUGUUAGAAGUCUCUUGGAAAUAGGUUUCUAAAAUCUUAUGUUGUCACCCUUAAGUCUGUGUAUAAUGAUCAAGUGUUUUUCUGUGCCUCAAGAUAACCACAUCUUGUAAAAGGAAAGUGUCUGAAGCAUCAGUGCUUAUUCCUGCAACUGCAAGAUUUUCCACACGGAGUCCACUGGUAUUUCUUAGUACGUGUAAGUUUACAGCCACUCCUUCCAAAGGACGAUGUAAGUUACCAUUGAAAAUGAUGAGCUCUGCUGAAAGGUCUAACAGUAAUGCAGUAAAUGGAACCAGAACUAAUAAUUUAUAUCAGGAGCUUACUGAAGUAUGUAUGUCAUCUUUAGCUAAGUCUUUUAUAUAGAAUAACAUGUGUUCUACUUUGUUCCUAAUUUGUGCUUGGAAGAGCUAGUGUUCUGCAAUCAGUAAAUAACUUACAGAAAACAAAGUGGUUCUUGGAUCAGAUUCAGGUCAAAUCCCUGAUUACAGGAUUCUGAAGCAUUUUAUAUAGCCAUACUUCAGAAGAAGACUUCAUUAUAUUGAAAGUAUCAUUUUGAAUACUUCGAGCAUUACUUAGUAGUAAAAUCUGUUUUGUUUUCAUGGAUUGUAAUGGUCACUGUUAUUUAUUGUACUCUCUAGAAUGGGCAAAGGUGUACAUCAGAUAAUGAAUUUUGUGAAACAGAGCAGAAAACCAGGAAAUCGAAAAUCAGAGAAGAGGCAGAACUACCAGAAAAGGUAUUGGAACCAGUACUUCAAUGAAAAGAAUUAAUGACUUAAUAUUUUAUUCAAGAAGUGAUAAAUUUGAGAUGCCUUUUUGUUUGUGAUUUUAUGUAACUGUUUUAUUUUGCAUGUUGUUCUACUGUAGGGAGUGUGUCCUGAAGAAAUUUUAAAAUUUUUACCAGAAGCAGAAAAUGGAACCACUGAAAAGCAAACUUUAGGCAAGUAAUUUUACGAGAGUUACUUGUCCUUAUUUUAUUUUUUUUAAUCUGCUACAUUCCUUUUGUAAUAAUGAUUGAUAACAAAUUAAUAUUUUAUUUAGACGAUGCGUUAGAUAUCGUUCCUGAUUCCCAGCAAGCAGGGAGAAGCAACAAACAUCUGUAAGUACUGAAAAAGAAUACCAAGUCACUGCUGGUUUGUGACUCAGUGACUAGUUCAUGAAAAGGUUCAUCUGUUGUUUUUAACUUUAUAAUUAAAGUCUGAUUAUUUUGAAAAUAGUGGUCAUUAACAAAAUCAGAGUAGUAGUUUAAUGUUCAAUGUUAAUAAGGAGAAUAAUUAUUUCAGAUUACAACAGAAAGUAAAGUAAAAAUGACACUGAGCUGUGCCAUAAAAGGUAGUAAACACAUUCUAAUUGUACCUCUGUAGGU